rnacentral:rRNA from 1 species
GACGAACGCUGGCGGCGUGCUUAACACAUGCAAGUCGAGCGGUAAGGCUCCUUCGGGAGUACACGAGCGGCGAACGGGUGAGUAACACGUGAGCAAUCUGCCCAUCACUUUGGGAUAACUCCGGGAAACCGGUGCUAAUACCGAAUACGACCACUUCAGGCAUCUGACGGUGGUGGAAAGUUCCGGCGGUGAUGGAUGAGCUCGCGGCCUAUCAGCUUGUUGGUGGGGUAAUGGCCUACCAAGGCUUCGACGGGUAGCCGGCCUGAGAGGGUGACCGGCCACACUGGGACUGCGACACGGCCCAGACUCCUACGGGAGGCAGCAGUGGGGAAUAUUGGACAAUGGGCGAAAGCCUGAUCCAGCAACGCCGCGUGAGGGAUGACGGCCUUCGGGUUGUAAACCUCUUUCAGCGCCGACGAAGCGAAAGUGACGGUAGGCGCAGAAGAAGCACCGGCCAACUACGUGCCAGCAGCCGCAGUAA